CAACGCCGCGUGAACGAAGAAGCCUUUGGGUCGUAAAGUUCUUUUGCGCGGGAAGAAAAGAAUGACGGUACCGCGCGAAUAAGCCCCGGCUAACUACGUGCCAGCAGCCGCGGUAAUACGUAGGGGGCGAGCGUUGUCCGGAAUUACUGGGCGUAAAGGGCACGCAGGCUGUGCCGUAAGUCGGCUGUUAAAGGAUGCGGCUUAACCGUGUUUGGCAGUCGAAACUGCGGUGCUUGAGUACCGAAGAGGCAAGUGGAAUUCCCAGUGUAGCGGUGAAAUGCGUAGAUAUUGGGAAGAACAUCGGUGGCGAAGGCGACUUGCUGGUCGGUAACUGACGCUCUUGUGCGAAAGCCAGGGGAGCAAACGGGAUUAGAUACCCCGGUAGUCCUGGCGGUAAACGAUGAAUGCUGGGUUGUGCGA
rnacentral:rRNA from 1 species